rnacentral:rRNA from 1 species
AAUAUUGGACAAUGGGCGCAAGCCUGAUCCAGCAAUACCGCGUGUGUGAAGAAGGCCCUAGGGUUGUAAAGCACUUUCAAUKGGGAGGAAAACCUGCCGGUCAAUACCCGGUAGCUUGACAUUACCUUUAGAAGAAGCACCGGCUAACUCCG